GUCCGCCAACGCCGCCGUCGCGAGCGCAGGGCGAGCUGAGGGUUGAAUGGGAGCGGUUUGCCUCCCUCGUCCAGGCCGAGUGGACGCGCCACCCUUUUGCCGUUUCCCUGUCGGAACAGCACCUUCUUACUAAACCGAUCGGAGAAGCCAGGAUGCAGUGAUUAGUGGGGAACACUGGAAUCUACCAACCAGAAACUCUCAACAUACAGAGAGGACAAUGAAGAAAACUUCAAAGAAACCAAUUCCAGUUGCCUAAUCUAACAAGUUUCAAAAAGAGAGAGUACACUGACCCUUUACUGCUAUGCAAUAAAGCACAAGAAACUGGGA